ACCGGCCCCCGCAGGCUUUCCGGGCGGAUGGGGGUGGGAAGGGGUUCCCUCCAGUAUCGCCGCCGGCAGCAGCUGGUGCAAAGCUGGGGAAAGGCAGUAACGUUAUCCUGGGCAGGCGGUGCGGCUCCUUCCGAAAACGCUGCGCUGUUUUUGCAGGACGACGAUCCCCGCUCGGUCCGGAUGGAGAGGGGACCCUUGGGAAUGCCAGGUGCAGCACGCGUUCAUCAUCAGUCUCUGUGUAAACCUGUCCAGUGAGACCGAACCGCUGUGGUGUCGUCAAUGUAGGGUUCCCUGUAUGGAUGUCCGUUGUUACAGAAAAAAAUCAGAGGGAUGGAAAACAUUUGUCAUCAACACUGCACUUUCUCUGCUUCCCUUAUGGAGAACAUCCAUACCCAGGUCUUGGUCUUGCUUGGAAUGUAUGCUGUACAUCACAGAUAAAAGUAUUUAUCAAGGAAGCACUCUCCAGUGUGGAAUAGACAUCUUACUUCUGAGAACAUGAAGGCUUCAUCAACAAGCAGAAUGUUCUCCCACGUUCAAGUCCUUUAUCCACUAAGCUGAAGAACCCUUGAGCCACCUAAAGACUAAAGAAAAGAAAAAUCCCAAAUGGCUGAGAAAGAAGAGGACAUGGCAUGUGUCCAUGGGGCUAGAAGGCUUAUAACUGCAUAUACACCUGUGUCACCAAAAGGCAGAAGGCUUGGACGAUGAUAGUUAAAGGAACCCUUCUGAGGCAUACAAACCCACUAAUUUAAUGACGUGACCAACAAUCUGGAGAGACUGCAUUCAUGAAACAAGAUCCAGACAAACGGGCUGAUGACAUUUGUCUGGUUUCUGACCAUUACCCUAGGUUGCUUACUCAUGUGGGUGGGCAUUAAUAAUAUCAGACUUAUCUGACAUGCCAGGGGUGAUACAGGCAAUCUGAAGCAAAUAUCUGCACUAAGAAGGGCUGAUACUGUUACGGUGUAAGCAUGUUGCUACACUUUCAGUAACAAUAAUAGUCAUAACUGCCUUCUGAAUCAAGCAAUCCCCAUCACAUCCUCUUAGUUCUGUUGUCGUCUUUUUCUGUGCAAAGGUAAAUCUUUGAACGUGGCCAGUCCACACCCUGAGUUCAUCCUUUGUCCUACAACAACUUUUGCAGAGCUGCAAAAGAAAAUACUGUAUUCUGUUCACAUUGCAACCAAUUCCAAGUGAUUAACUGAGUGCAAAAUGGAAGGGAAGAAAGGGAAACAAAGUAGUCUGUAUGCUGUUUUGAGCUCUUACUGUAUUUUUUUCAAAGGAGCAGAGUCCAACAUUCCCAGAGAUAUUUUCUAUCUCGGUGUGCUCUUUGCUCUCUAGUGCUUAGUAAUAUGAUUGCAUCAGCCCAGCUGUCAUGGAUUGUAGAUUAGACAGAAAGGAAAGGACAUGGGAUUGUUCUUUAGUUUUGUCUCCUGCUUUAUUUUGCUUAAGCCAUAGAUAGUAACUUACUGAAACAAUUGAUUAGUCAAAGCUUGACUUGCAUUUUUUUUUACUGAGAGGCUAUGCUAGUACUGUGCUAUCAUACCUUUUUGUUAGCAGAGGGGGUUCUGUGAUCAUCUGGAGUUUUGGGGAGAGUUAUGUUCUUACUGGGGUUCCAGUGGAGAAAGGCCACACUGGUCCCAGUGCACCCCUCUGUAGUCCCAUUCUUGGAAUAGAUUUCAAUAAGCUGUGAGGCACCUUUGAUGAGAGGCAAAGUGACUUCUAAUUGCAGAGUUUUAAAUUGUAGGUUCUGUUUAUGUAUGUUCUUUUAACAUAUGUUUAACUUUAGUGUUCAUCAAGCAACUGGGCCAAAAAGAUCUUUGUUUCAGCCUAGCCCCUCUUGGGAGUACCUAGAAAGUGCCAAGUCCAUGUAUGAAACAUCUGAAAGUCCUCCAGCAAACGAAGGGAAGACAGCACUCGCUGUUCCUGAUGUUUAUUAUCAGCAGGGGAACGGGAGAAGGAAAAUGCAUUUGAAAAAUUCAAGUCAGCAUUUUUCAAGCCUUCCUCGUGAAUAGUAUAGAUUUUUCUUUCCUUAAAGUGUGAAUCAAGUAGAGUAUUAAUGAAAUGCGCUUAAGCGUUAUAUAUUGGAAACUCUCAAAUUUAAAAGAAAAAAGCCAGGCUGUGUUUGUUUGCGCUCUUGGAGAAUUUUCAUAAGGGUGCAGUAGAAUUAGUUGUAGAAUCUAGGUUAAGUUCGCUCCAGACUGCAAGGAAUCUUUUCAAAGCUUAGGGUGAAACAUUUCAUUUUGAUUUACCUACCCUCAUUCCUUUAUAAGUACUUCAAAGUGGAUACAAAUUUGCAUUUUUUAGUUUAAACACAAAGCCAAAGCAUUUUACAAUGUUUUAUAAUAAUGUGAAAAAAAAAAUACUUCUAUAUACUUUUACUAAAUUUGUGUUCCACCUACAUCAAUAGUAUGUCUCCAGCUGAACUCAGUGGAGUCAGAAAUUUGUCCAGUAAGUCUUUUCCCUUUGCACAAUUUCUCAGAUUUUCUUUACCAUGAUAACAGUGACAAUUAUUUACAAACUUAAGACACAAUCUUAAAUGAGGCGUAUAUUAAAAAUGGUUACUAAAUGCACAGCAACUUUAACAAUGGACAGAACUUUUCAGAUUUUUGAAAAUUUCUGGAUGUAUUUUUAAUAAAUGCAGAUUUCAACAAGUCCAUCAAAGUGAACUUCAAAUCUUACUUAAUAGAAUUUGGAAUUAUGUAAUGUUGGGAUUGAGACUUUAAUUAUUUAUGCCAAAACGUUCAAUGUUUAGAUUCUACUUGAAUUACUCAAUGUUUCUAACUACUUAAACAGAUUAUUAAAAUUAGACCUAGAUAUUAUUCAAUGCUUAAAUAACCUUUCAGGUAUUGCGUAGUUAAUAUUCAGUGUCUUUCAAACACAGGAAAGGCCUGUACUGUAGCUUUGACUGUGAGCACACAAUUAGCCCCAUUGAUCUCAAUAAAAACCCGCAUGCGUAUAAACUAGGAACACUCUUAAAAUAUCUUGAUGACCCAUGGAGAAAGAUUAUUUUCACAUCAGUCAAAAAAUAUGACCUAGCUGGUUCUGACGACAACUGAGAAUUUUAAGUGAGCACUGACACAACCCCCACAAUCAGGAAAUUUAAUACGAGGAAGAAAUGAAUCCGUCCCUCCAAUGCACCAUCUAAUUUAAAAAUUAUAUAUGAAUAAAACAGCAAUACAUAGUUAAACAUUUGAGAAGGUCAGAUAUACUUUUUUAAAUUCUUUAAAGUACACUGAAGUAGAAGAUUUUGUAUAGAUGUGCAUACACAGGAAAUUAAAGUGCAUUGUAUUAUA